GUAGCUUAAAUUAGUUUGGUUGGUCAUUGACGAUAUUGCACUAUUUCCUUGAGAUUCUUGAAUUGUGAUUGUAUGUGCACUCUGACUUGGUUAAUGUGAAUUCUAUUUUUGCAGUUGCAAUUGGGUAUACGCUUAGUUGCCUAGUUGGUGUUACCUCUUCACUUAGUUGAUAUAAUUGAAUGGUGCAAUUUGGAUUUGAUAUUAAAACUGCGUUCGCUUAGUUCGCUUUUAUGAAAACAGGGUUAACCUUCGCUUAGUUGGUUAACUUUGUUGGAUUAGAGGUUCGAGUCGCAACUUUAUUUUGUUGAUCUAUGAAUGGAAACAUUGUAAUUAAGUUAAUGACCAAUCGUUUUUAUUCUGUAUGUGAUUUCGUUUUGCAAUUCUGUUUUUACAUUUCUGUUGCAACCGUGUUUUAGUUUAGUUUAUCCGUAUUCACAAUCCUUUCACAACCCCCCCACUUCGUGUUUGACUUGAUUCUCGAACCGCAAAAUUGGUCCUUGAGAGACGACCUAGGAGUCAUUCCUAGCUAUAUUGCAUUUCUAAUAUGCAAUCAAACUUGUGUGGGCGGCGACACCCAUCAAAUUUUGGCGCCGUUGCUGGGGACCAACGGUUCAGUUUUUGGUCUUUUGUUGUGUUAGUGUGUGUUGUGUCUUGUCUUGUGUUGUGAGUGUGAUGUUCUGUUUUGUGUGUUCAUCAUUGUGUGUUGCAUUUAGGUAGCUUUAGUUGCAUAUUUUCAUUGCAUUAUUCUUUUCCCCCUCUUUUACAUGUCUACCUAUUUUGGUUAUGUGAGUAAUGCUUAUUCUGCGUGUGUCUAUGACUCUACUUCUGCAUUUGACUCUGAUAUUGCUUGUGUUGUAUACUCAGCUGAUGUCUAUGUUGUGAACAGUACGGUUCCUCC
rnacentral:lncRNA from 1 species